UACGGAGGGUGCGAGCGUUGUCCGGAAUCAUUGGGCGUAAAGCGCGCGUAGGCGGCCUUGUAAGUCCGUUGUGAAAGUCAAAGGCUCAACCUUUGAAAGCCGAUGGAUACUGCAAGGCUAGAGUUCGGAAGAGGCGAGUGGAAUUCCUGGUGUAGCGGUGGAAUGCGCAGAUAUCAGGAGGAACACCAAUAGCGAAGGCAGCUCGCUGGGACGAUACUGACGCUGAGGCGCGAAAGCGUGGGGAGCAAACAGG
rnacentral:rRNA from 1 species